rnacentral:rRNA from 1 species
UACGUAGGGUGCGAGCGUUGUCCGGAAUUAUUGGGCGUAAAGAGCUCGUAGGCGGUUUGUCGCGUCGUUCGUGAAAACUCCACGCUUAACGUGGAGCGUGCGGGCGAUACGGGCAGACUUGAGUUCGGUAGGGGAGACUGGAAUUCCUGGUGUAGCGGUGAAAUGCGCAGAUAUCAGGAAGAACACCCGUGGCUAAGGCGGUUCUCUAGUACGGUACUGACGCUGAGACGCGAAAGCGUGGGGAGCGAACAGG